GCUAAUAGCCAUAUCACCCUUCAGCCAAAGACCGGUUACUCACUGAAGCUAAGCAGGACUGAGCCUGGUCAGUACCUGAAUGGGAGACCACUUAGGAAAGCUAGGUUGCUGUUGUAA
ensembl:rRNA 5S_rRNA 5S ribosomal RNA